CCUACGGGCGGCAGCAGUGGGGAAUAUUGGACAAUGGGGGCAACCCUGAUCCAGCCAUGCCGCGUGUGUGAAGAAGGCCCUCGGGUUGUAAAGCACUUUCAGUGAGGAAGAACGCCUGGUGGUUAAUACCCAUCAGGAAAGACAUCACUCACAGAAGAAGCACCGGCUAACUCCGUGCCAGCAGCCGCGGUAAUACGGAGGGUGCGAGCGUUAAUCGGAAUUACUGGGCGUAAAGCGCGCGUAGGUGGCUUGAUAAGCCGGUUGUGAAAGCCCCGGGCUCAACCUGGGAACGGCAUCCGGAACUGUCAAGCUAGAGGUCAGGAGAGGAAGGUAGAAUUCCCGGUGUAGCGGUGAAAUGCGUAGAGAUCGGGAGGAAUACCAGUGGCGAAGGCGGCCUUCUGGACUGACACUGACACUGAGGUGCGAAAGCGUGGGUAGCAAACAGGAUUAGAUACCCUGGUAGUC
rnacentral:rRNA from 1 species